rnacentral:rRNA from 1 species
GGAGCGAAAUUUAGUAGCGAAGUAGCUGAUUUCACACUGUCAAGAAAAGUCUCUAUCGAGGUUAAAGGUACCCGUACCGCAAACCGACACAGGCGGGUGAGGAGAGUAUCCUAAGGCCAGCGAGAGAACUGUUGUUAAGGAACUCGGCAAAAUGACCCCGUAACUUAGGGAUAAGGGGUGCCACCAUCAGGUGGCCGCAGAGAAUAGGCCCAAGCGACUGUUUACCAAAAACAUAGGUUUCUGCUAAGUCGCAAGACGAUGUAUAGGAGCUGA